GAGCAAGGAUCUAUAUGCGCAGUGGGUAAUGAUAAAAUGUAUUGCGUUUUGUGUCGUGUGAUCGUGUUCCGUUAUGAGGGGGUCAGCAAUGGGGCUUUGUUCCGAUAGGUUUGCGUCUUGAGGAUGCACUGGUUAAUCUUAGCGAUGUACCACGAAUCCGACAGCGUAGGCUGAUGCGGGGAAUCGCUUUUGUUGUUGUCACCUUGCAUACCUGGACAAGUGUACGCGGUGAGGCAGGGCUUUUGUAUGAGUUUACCAUUUUUCCGUUUGUUGUCGGUUGCUAAUAUCAAUUUGACAAAUAAAUGUUAGUUUAAGCCGCUAAAGACAAGUUUAUUUAAAUUUAAAUUGAAACCUUGCAGUUUUUUCACUUAGAUUUAUUGACCUUAAAAACUCGCUUUAAUAUAUUUUGUCUUGCAUUGUGGAUCUAAGACAAAAAUUGCACCUUUUUCAAUUAGAUUUAUUUACCUUAAAAACUCGCUUAAAUAUAUUUUGUCUUGCAUUGUGGAUCUAAGACACAAAUUGGAGCUUUUAUUGCAUUGUAUGUCUUUGAUCCCGCGAUACUCUUUUCCCUAACUGAUUGAGUUAAAAUUUAUUAUCUUAAUAAUUUAGGACACUUUUGAAUGUUCUCUCUUUUUUAUAUUUUAUAUAUUUUUUAUGUUCUCUAAACACAACAUUAUUAACCAAUCACCUUACACUUUCAUCCUCCAAUCAAUUAAGAUAUUUUUUGACCAAUAGCGUUAUUAUUUACUGAGGCUUCGCUUGAGGGAUAUUUUGAUUAACCGCAAAUUUACGUCAUACAACAUCUGUGUAUAAUAUCACAAUUUACAUGCGCUCUAUAAACUGCUCAUUGGCAUUGCGCAAAAUAUCCUUCAAGACUUAUUCUUAUUCAAUAUCAAAUUAUGGUAAGUCUUUUAUCUUAAUUGUUUUUUAUUUUGUUGUGUGUUUGUUUGCCUUCAAUUUGUACUUGAGUAUUUAGGAAUAAUUUAACUUAUAAGUUUUUUGUAUUCUAAUGUUACUUCUUGCGCAACGUGUUUUAAUAAUUUUCUAAAAAGUAUAUCAGCGUAAUUUGUUUAAAAUGGAUCAAGUUAGGGUAUUUGGCUGAGCAGUAGUAUGUCCUCUCAAAUGUUGCAACAUAAGAAGGCUUUGACACAGACGUAGAGGUGGGUUUUAUUUGCUUGUUUUGAGGAUGUUACCCCGACGGGAGUUUCUAGAAAUGAGCAUUAAAACAUUCGAAACGUCAAAUACCAGAGUAAUAUCUUUAUAAGGAUCAAUACAAUGUCCACUUCCUGACGAGAAUCUGGUAUUAUACUACAUAAUUUUGAAUUUUAUUUUAACGCUGAUGUAUUUUUAUUUUCUUUCUUUAAACAAUCAUGCGCGCGUUUCCACUUUAUAUUAAAUGUUUGUUUUUGUUGUUUGUUGUAAUACUUCUGCUUUAAAGUUGUACUUUUUAUCUAAAGAAUUGAGUAAUUGUGUUAUAUUAGGUUAAUUGUGUAUCACAUUAUGCUUACCACAACGAUAGCAAUUGUUAAUAAUUGUUUUGAUUUUUGUUAAAUGUUUUUGAAUAUUUAUCUGAUAAAUUCAGAUAGGUUUACUUAGAUAUUCUUUUGUUUUUAUCUGUGGCUGAAGGUAUUCGGGUUGCAUGUAAAUAAACAGAAUUAUUGUAUUUGUCGAUCUUUGAGUAUAUAAACUAAAUUUAAAACGAAUAUUUUUAUUAUAAGGUUGCAUGCUUUUAAGGUAUUUUUGCACGUUUGCAUGCGUCUAAGGCAUUUACGUCUAAAUAUGUUCCACUAGUGACUAUACUCACUUAUUCUAGUUGCGAACCUGAUAUGUAAAGAGAACAUGAUAAGACUGGACUGAGCGAGACUAAGAACCAUUAUUUACGAACACACAGAUUCAAAGCAAUAAAAACACUAAAUGACACAUAAAACUUUAACGUUUAGAACAAUACAAACACAAAACACAAUAACUUACAGAACACUGCAACAACACGUACUUAAAUCUAACAUGACCACCACUUACUUAACUCAAACUUAAUUACUGAAUAGUACCCUUCUUUUAAACAACAACUCUUAAUUCUGGACAUCUGUCCAAAUAUUAUAAUUUAUCUUGCACUUCCUUGCACUUAUAUAAAAUAUUUCUUGCUUCUCUUAAGACUAUUACGGCCUGAUGGUUCCAUAUAAGUGGUGGAACUUUAAUAGCUUCCACUGCGAAACAAUAACGAUUGAUUUGUUUUAAAACAAUUUGUUGCAGCUUUUUUUUAAAUUACAUUUUUUUAUACAAUAACAGUCAAAAUAAGCGGUAAACAAGAAUGAAUUUAACAACAUUCAGAUCUCACCUUCAGAUCUUACCUUUAAUAUUUUUUCGAUUUUAGAUUAUUUUCCGUAAACCUGAUGGCGAAUAUGAACAUUAAAGGGAGUAAACGUAAAGGCAGAGAAAACAAAAUAUCGUUUGAAAACUUUAAGUUAAAGGACGUUAUGUUUGAAGCGUUACAAGACAGGUAUACCGUUAGUGAAAAAGAAUUAUUUAGAGUUGUCGGGAAUAAACUAAAGAAUGCACCAGGAAGAUUGAACCAUUCCAUUGAUAUCUAACAUUUAUAUUAUAUUAUAUGUAUAUAGUUUAUGUUAUAGUAUAUAGUUACUUUUUUUAAAUAAAUAAACAAUAAUAUUAUACAA